rnacentral:rRNA from 1 species
AUUGAACGCUGGCGGCAGGCCUAACACAUGCAAGUCGAGCGAGCGGCGGACGGGUGAGUAAUGUAUGGGGACUGCCCGAUAGAGGGGGAUAACUACUGGAAACGGUAGCUAAUACCGCAUACUAUCGGAUAGCCCAUAUGGGCUUAGCUAGUAGGUGAGGUAAUGGCUCACCUAGACGACGAUCCCUAGCUGGUCUGCGAGGAUGAACAUCCACACUGGGACUGAGAACGGGCCCAGACGCCUGGGGAGGACGCAGGGGGGAAUAUUGCACAAUGGGCGCAAGCCUGAUGCAGCCAUGCCGCGUGUAUGAAGAAGGCCCUAGGGUUGUAAAGUACUUUCAGUCGGGAGGCGUUACCGACAGAAGAAGCACCGGCUAACUCCGUGCCAGCAGCCGCGGUAAUUC